GGGCGUAUUGGGCAAUUGGUGGCCCGCUGGGCUGUAAACCUGGUGUCCUCAGGACGUGGAGGUUCGAGUCCUCCUGCGCCCA
rnacentral:tRNA from 1 species